rnacentral:rRNA from 1 species
GACGAACGCUGGCGGCGUGCUUAACACAUGCAAGUCGAUCGGAAAGGCCCUGCUUGCAGGGUCCUCGAGUGGCGAACGGGUGAGUAACACGUGGGUGAUCUGCCCUGCACUUCGGGAUAAGCCUGGGAAACUGGGUCUAAUACCGGAUAGGAGCCAUUUUUAGUGUGAUGGUUGGAAAGUUUUUUCGGUGUAGGAUGAGCUCGCGGCCUAUCAGCUUGUUGGUGGGGUAAUGGCCUACCAAGGCGGCGACGGGUAGCCGGCCUGAGAGGGUGGACGGCCACAUUGGGACUGAGAUACGGCCCAGACUCCUACGGGAGGCAGCAGUGGGGAAUAUUGCACAAUGGGCGCAAGCCUGAUGCAGCGACGCCGCGUGGGGGAUGACGGCCUUCGGGUUGUAAACUCCUUUCGCUAGGGACGAAGCUUUUUGUGACGGUACCUAGAGAAGAAGCACCGGCUAACUACGUG